UGCCAGCAGCCGCGGUAAUACGGAGGGUGCGAGCGUUAAUCGGAAUUACUGGGCGUAAAGCGCAUGUAGGCGGUUUGAUAAGUCGGAUGUGAAAUCCCUGGGCUUAACCUGGGAACGGCAUUCGAUACUGUCAGGCUAGAGUAGGACAGAGGAGAGGGGAAUUCCGCGUGUAGCAGUGAAAUGCGUAGAUAUGCGGAGGAACACCAAUGGCGAAGGCACCUCUCUGGGUCCAUACUGACGCUGAGAUGCGAAAGCGUGGGGAGCAAACAGGAUUAGAUA
rnacentral:rRNA from 1 species